rnacentral:rRNA from 1 species
GACGAACGCUGGCGGCGUGCUUAACACAUGCAAGUCGAACGGAAAGGCCCUGCUUUUGUGGGGUGCUCGAGUGGCGAACGGGUGAGUAACACGUGAGUAACCUGCCCUUGACUUUGGGAUAACUUCAGGAAACUGGGGCUAAUACCGGAUAGGAGCUCCUGCUGCAUGGUGGGGGUUGGAAAGUUUCGGCGGUUGGGGAUGGACUCGCGGCUUAUCAGCUUGUUGGUGGGGUAGUGGCUUACCAAGGCUUUGACGGGUAGCCGGCCUGAGAGGGUGACCGGCCACAUUGGGACUUGAGAUACGGCCCAGACUCCUACGGGAAGCAGCAGUGGGGAAUAUUGCACAAUGGGCGGAAGCCUGAUGCAGCAACGCCGCGUGCGGGAUGACGGCCUUCGGGUUGUAAACCGCUUUCGCCUGUGACGAAGCGUGAGUGACGGUAAUGGGUAAAGAAGCACCGGCUAACUACGUG